AUUGAACGCUGGCGGCAGGCCUAACACAUGCAAGUCGAACGGUAACAGGAAGCAGCUUGCUGCUUCGCUGACGAGUGGCGGACGGGUGAGUAAUGUCUGGGAAGCUGCCUGAUGGAGGGGGAUAACUACUGGAAACGGUAGCUAAUACCGCAUAAUGUCGCAAGACCAAAGAGGGGGACCUUCGGGCCUCUUGCCAUCGGCUGUGCCCACAUGGGAUUAGCUUGUUGGUGGGGUAACGGCUCACCAAGGCGACGCUCCCUAGCUGGUCUGAGAGGAUGACCAGCCACACUGGAACUGAGACACGGUCCAGACUACUACGGGAGGCAGCAGUGGGGAAUAUUGCACAAUGGGCGCAAGCAUGAUGCAGCCAUGCCGCGUGUAUGAAGAAGGCCUUCGGGUUGUAAAGUACUUUCAGCGGGGAGGAAGGGAGUAAAGUUAAUACCUUUGCUCAUUGACGUUACCCGCAGAAGAAGCACCGGCUAACUCCGUG
rnacentral:rRNA from 1 species